ACUCAGUUUUGAUACGUGCAAGAAUAAAAACCUAGUGCAAGACCUUUAGAAGUAUUUAUGCGGCUCUUUACAGUAAAACACAUCAACUUAAAUUAAUAAAGCACGUGUCAUGCCAGUUUCGACGUGUAUUUGCUGCGCUCGUACCGGCAACAGCAAGGAGCCGUCGCUCAAAGUCAUCGCUCACGUGGGGUAUGAUCUGUAGGCGACAAGCGAACGCAACAGCCAUAUCCAUCACGUCACUUGUCGCUGUCGCGCACAAGAUCGCUUGCAUGCGGUGUAUACUUAAAUGGCCGAGACUUGUCUG
rnacentral:lncRNA from 1 species